UGGAAUUAAGGAGCAGGCUGAGGAGGUCCGGAAAAUUCAAAAGGCUCAGAGAAGCCCAAGGGGCUAUGAAGACGGUCUCUGGCCUUGGCCAAGAGGCGAUCCAGGGUUCCAGGAGAGGGGCAGGAAGUGGCCGGGACAGCAGACACCGGGGACAGGCGGGUGGGCAGGAAGCCAGGCAGAGAGCCUUUGAGGUGAUAGCGGUGUUUGGGGGCUGGCACCUUAUCGCAGGAUCAGAAACUCAGCUCUUGAAACCAGAUUGGCUUUGACACUUCUGGCGUUUCUUUGUUUAUUUCCUCUUCGUUCUACUUUAACAUUUAGUACGAUUCAAAAAUAUUUUUUUGUGUGGUUAAUACGUGCAGAGAAGGUAAAAUUAUUAUUUUUAAAUGCUACUCUGUCUCCACUGAGCACUGAGGUAAGAGAGAGGUUUUAAAAGAGCAGUUCUGGGGGCUGGGGGGCAGCAGUGAGUGGGGGGGGGGGCAGGCAGUCCCCGGAGACACCACCCCUCUCCUUAGAGGUGACCAUUCCCAAGCUCCACCUGCUCUGGCUGCCUGGUUCUGCUCAAUCAGGCAGAUCAGUUUCUCAGAGAUCAGCCUAAUCUCUGUCCAAGAUUAUCACCCUCAUCUUGUAUUUGUAAAUGUCACAUCCCAGUGAUUUUUGAGAAGAGCAAAAACCCCCUCUUUUUCCCCCCACCCCGGUCAUAGAGAGAGACGUGACUUUCUGGGGACAGGAGAGGCCUCGGGGUUGGACCUGAGAUCCCGGGAGAGUUUACAAGUUGUGUGACCUCCGGGCUAGCGGCUUAACCUCUCUGGGCUUCCCACUCCUUGACACGUAAAAGCAGAAGAAACCACCACCCGCCUCCCAGGUUGUUUGGAAGGAUCCAAAGGCAGGGAAAGUGCCUGACUUGUAAAGGACUCUGACAAAGAGAAGGAAAAGAAGACAGCAGAGGGAAGACCGUUAAUAACAUUGCAAUAACACCCAACGGUGACUAUGCUAAUCGCGGUGAGCACUGAGUAAUGUACAGAAUUGCCAAAUGACUGGGAUGUAGUCAUCUACGCCUGAAACUGACACUGCAUGUCAAUUACCCUUCCAUAAUAAGCAAAUAAAAUAAAACAACGUGUUCCUUCUGCAACCGACAAGACGUCUUCCCAGGGCCUGCACAGGACGGGACGAGCAGAGUCUCUCCCAGAGGACUGGCACGAUCAGGGAUCUUUCUGUGGGCCCCGGGCCAGCCGGGAGUCAAAAGCUCGGAGACACAGAGAACUGUAACCUGGGAAGCAGGAAGCAGGAAGCAAGGCAGCCUUGAACUAGAGUAAUAAUAACCACAGCCGUGAUCAUUGACUGGCCCUGGGGGAGGGUGCCUGGCAGGGAUCAAGGGUGAGGGACCGUGUUGUGGUUGGGGGGGGCGGGGGUGAUCGGGGGUCCCUGCUGCCUCCACUCAGGAGCUGGGAGCUCUCUGGGGAAGGAGGGAGCAGGGCCUGCAGAGUUGAGCCGGCGAGGACACCUGCAGCCUUGGGCCCUCGGCUCCCCCUACUCCAGGCCCUGCAGACUCCCAGAUCCUCACCGCCGAUGCCGAUGCCAAUGCCGAUGCAUGAAGUCCGGGUCCAGAGCCUGGUGACCAUGGGCUGUUGCCUGGCAACCGCCUCUGAGAGAGAAGUUGAAGGCUCACCAGUCAGGCACCGGUGACGGCGCUGGUUUUCCUCAGGGCCUUUGCACAGGCUGUGCCCGCACCCCACCCGUACGUGUGAGACGAAGUCCUCCCGGAGCCUUCCCUGGCCUGGAUCGGUGAGGCCUCUCCUCUAGGCUUCCCGGAGACCCCAGCCUCACCGUGUCCCCAGGCCUGGAAGCGCCUAG